UACAGCUAUACCACCCUGAAUGCACCCAAUCUCAUUUUAUCUCAGAAGCUAAGUGGGAUUGGGCCUUUUUAGAACUUGUUGGGGGAGAAAGUAUAGCUCUAU
rnacentral:rRNA from 1 species